rnacentral:rRNA from 1 species
GAUGAACGCUGGCUGUGUGCCUAAUACAUGCAUGUCGAGCGAAGCACUUUUGUGCUUAGCGGCGAAUGGGUGAGUAACACGUACUUAACCUACCCUCAAGAUUGGGACAACACUUGGAAACGAGUGCUAAUACCAAAUACGUAUUUUUAUCGCAUGAUAGAUAUAUAAAAGGAGCUUCGGCUUCACUAGAGGAUGGGAGUGCGCUACAUUAGUUAGUUGGUAGGGUAAUGGCCUACCAAGACUAUGAUGUAUAGCGGGGCCGAGAGGCUGAUCCGCCACACUGGGACUGAGAUACGGCCCAGAUUCCUACGGGAGGCAGCAGUAGGGAAUUUUCCACAAUGAACGAAAGUUUGAUGGAGCGACACAGCGUGCAGGAUGAAGGUCUUCGGAUUGUAAACUGCUGUUAUAAGAGAAGAAAAACCCUGGUAGGUAAUGACCAGGACUUGACGGUACCUUAUCAGAAAGCGACGGCUAACUAUGUGCCAGCAGCCGCGGUAAUACAUAGGUCGCAAGCGUUAUCCGGAAUUAUUGGGCGUAAAGAGUUCGUAGGUGGUUUUGUAAGUCUGAAGUUAAAUACCGGGGCUCAACCCCGGCCCGCUUUGGAUACUGCAAAACUAGAGUAAUAUAGAGGUUAGUGGAACUCCAAGUGAAGCGGUGGAAUGCGUAGAUAUUUGGAAGAACACCAAUGGCGAAGGCAACUAACUGGAUAUUAACUGACACUGAGGAACGAAAGCGUGGGUAGCAAACAGG